ACGGAAGGCAGCAGUGAGGAAUAUUGGUCAAUGGGCGGAAGUCUGAACCAGCCAAGUCGCGUGCGGGAGGACGGCCCUACGGGUCGUAAACCUCUUUUGUACGGGAAUAAAGUCACCCACGCGUGGGUGUUUGUAGGUACCGUAAGAAUAAGGAUCGGCUAACUCCGUGCCAGCAGCCGCGGUAAUACGGAGGAUCCGAGCGUUAUCCGGAUUUAUUGGGUUUAAAGGGUGCGCAGGCGGGCUGCUAAGUCGGCGGUGAAAUGUCAGGGCUCAACCUUGGCACUGCCGGAGAUACUGGUGGCCUUGAGAGUGGCGGAGGUUGCCGGAAUGUGUGGUGUAGCGGUGAAAUGCAUAGAUAUCACACAGAACACCGAUUGCGAAGGCAGGAGACCAGACCAUAUCUGACGCUCAGGCACGAAAGCGUGGGGAUCGAACAGGAUUAGAUACCCUGGUA
rnacentral:rRNA from 1 species